rnacentral:rRNA from 1 species
AUGCUAAACAAAGCUGAUGCGGAGAAUCGGAUUAAAGGAAUCAAACUUGCACCGACGGCACCGCGAGUUAAUCAUCUGCUCUUCGCAGAUGACUCGUUACUGGUCCUAGAAGCUACUACCCAAGGAGUACAAACUAUCAACUCCAUAUUACAUGAGUACGAAGAGUGCUCUGGCCACGUGAUUAACCGAGAAAAAUCUUCGGUGAUGUUCAGCUCCAAUGCCAAGCAGUCUUGCAAGAACUUGCUCUUGCAAGAGCUCCAGCUGGGAAGCGAGUCCACGGAAGGGAAGUACUUGGGUCUACCAUGUAACACCCCGAUGUAA